rnacentral:rRNA from 1 species
UGGCGGCCAUAGCGCGGUGGUCCCACCCUGAUCCCAUGCCGAACUCAGUAGUGAAACGCCGUAGCGCCGAUGGUAGUGUGGGGUCUCCCCAUGUGAGAGUAGGGAACUGCCAGACA